rnacentral:rRNA from 1 species
GUCCUUUUGAUUAUAAUUUAAGGUCUAGCCUGCCCAAUGAUGUAAAUUUAAUGGCCGCAGUAUACUGACUGUGCAAAGGUAGCAUAAUCAUUAGUUUUUUAAUUGAAAGCUUGUAUGAAAGGUUUGAUGAAAAAAAAGUUGUCUCUGAGUAAAAUUUUUGAAAUUUAUUUUUAAGUUAAAAAGCUUAAAUUAUUAUUGAAGACGAGAAGACCCUAUAGAGUUUUAUUUAUAUUAUAAUAAAUUGAGUUUUAGGAUUUUAAAUUUUUUAUUAUUAUAUAAAUUUAGUUGGGGUGAUUGAAAAAUUUAUUAAACUUUUUUUUUAUUUAGACAUUUAUUUAUGAAUCUUUGAUCCUUUGUAAGAUUAUAAGAUAAAAUUACCUUAGGGAUAACAGCGUAAUUUUUUUUAGAGUUCUUAUCGAAAAGAAAGAUUGCGACCUCGAUGUUGGAUUAAAAUUAAAUUUUUGGUGUAGAAGCUAAAAGAUUAGGUCUGUUCGACCUUUAAAAUUUUACAUGAUCUGAGUUUAAACCGGUGUAAG